UACGGGAGGCAGCAGUAGGGAAUCUUCCACAAUGGGCGAAAGCCUGAUGGAGCAACGCCGCGUGAGUGAAGAAGGAUUUCGGUUCGUAAAACUCUGUUGUAAGGGAAGAACAAGUACAGUAGUAACUGGCUGUACCUUGACGGUACCUUAUUAGAAAGCCACGGCUAACUACG
rnacentral:rRNA from 1 species